AUUGAACGCUGGCGGCAGGCUUAACACAUGCAAGUCGAGCGGAGAGAGGUAGCUUGCUACUGAUCUUAACGGCGGACGGGUGAGUAAUGCUUAGGAAUCUGCCUAUUAGUGGGGGACAACAUUUCGAAAGGAAUGCUAAUACCGCAUACGUCCUACGGGAGAAAGCAGGGGAUCUUCGGACCUUGCGCUAAUAGAUGAGCCUAAGUCGGAUUAGCUAGUUGGUGGGGUAAAGGCCUACCAAGGCGACGAUCUGUAGCGGGUCUGAGAGGAUGAUCCGCCACACUGGGACUGAGACACGGCCCAGACUCCUACGGGAGGCAGCAGUGGGGAAUAUUGGACAAUGGGCGGAAGCCUGAUCCAGCCAUGCCGCGUGUGAGAAGAAGGCCUUAUGGUUGUAAAGCACUUUAAGCGAGGAGGAGGCUACUUUAGUUAAUACCUAGAGAUAGUGGACGUUACUCGCAGAAUAGGCACCGGCUAACUCUGUGCCAGCCGCCGCGGUAAUAC
rnacentral:rRNA from 1 species